AUGCUUGGCUCCUCCCUCUGGGCUCACAUCUCCCAGUGGGAUGCUGUAGUUCUUAUCAGCCAUGCAGGGACAUUCAAUGGCUGUUAUCAGCAGUGUCCCCUCCUAGGGAGGUGUGACUGUGGUCACUCAAAGAGGGAAAUAAGGCAAACUGCCCACUUGACAAAGGUCAUCUGCCAUUCAGAUGGUAAUACAACACAUCUUGCAUUGCAACCUUCAACACCCGUGCUCCCCAUUCCUGCUGUCCUUCCUCUGCAGGGCUCUCCGGGCCCCAAAGGAGCCACGGGACCCCCUGGGCCACCAGGGAGCAGCGUCACAGGGCCACCGGUAGGUCCUGCCCUGGUGGGUGGGCAGUGCCACCCUGCUGGCACCUUGAUCCUGGUGGAACCAGGCACUUCCCUCACCCUCCUCUUCCUCGCAGGGCCCCGAGGGGCAGCGGGGGCUCCCCGGCUCCAGCGGGCAGCCGGGCGAGAAGGGUGCCCAGGGAGAGAAGGUGAGUGGGGGUGUCCGGGUGGAGCCGUGCCCCCCGUGCCACACCAAACCCGCCCUGCCCUCACCCCCUGUGCCCACAGGGAGACCCUGGCGAGUGCUCCUGCCCCUCCAGCCCCCGCCAGGACCCCAGCUACAACGGCAUGCCGGUGAGUGUCACCCCCCUGGCACUGUGCCACCCUCAUGGGCACCCCCAGCCCUGUUCUACCCUCUGGGGUUCUCUCACCCCCAGGGAGCACCAGGAUUAUGGACUGGGAUGUCCUGGCAGCCCCAGCCUGGCCCACAGGUCGGUGCCACCCCUGUCACCCCCUCACCCUCACCCUCACCCCUCUCUGAUUGUGUUUUGGGGUCUUUCAGGGUCCCCCUGGAGCUCCUGGUCCCCCUGGGCCGCCCGGUGCCCCCGGUCGCCAGGUGAGCGCUAGGAGAGGGGAGGUGUCCCAUCCUGAGCUUUCAGGGCAGGGUUUGAAUUUUCCUCUGGGAUUUAGGGAAUGCCAGGACACAACGGCCUGCCCGGACUGCCUGGACCAGCUGGAGACCUGGUAGGUGGUGCCAAUUCCCGUGGCAAUGUCCCCUGUCCCCAUGGAGGGGACAAUCCCUCCCUCCAUUCCUCCCUCUCUUCCAGGGACCUCUGGCCGUCAUGGCUGAGAGGAACAUCGAGGUGCUGAAGGUGAGAGGGUGGGGAUGGGGUCACCCUCCGGCCCUGGGGACCCCUCAGGACACCCCUGACUCCCCUUUCCCCCCAUUUUCCAGACUCUCUGCGGGGACUGUGCCCAGCUGCAGGCAGCCCUGGAAGCUCCCGAGGGAGUGGAGGGGGAGAAGGAGGAUGGGGGCAUGCCAGGCGCCCCUGGCAGCGAGAGCUGUGCCAGGGUGAGUUUUCCCACAGCUCUGGGUGGGGAUUUGGGUGCCCAACACUCCCUGGACAUGCAGGGAUGGGAUUGAGGUGCUCCCGAGUCUCUCCCCAGUCCCGGGGUGUGGUGGUGUUCUCAGGGGUCCCAGGAUGAGGGAAGAGAGGAGAAUCUUGACUCCAUGUUUCAGAAGGC
rnacentral:lncRNA from 1 species